rnacentral:lncRNA from 10 species
ACUUUGGUAGGGUUGCUAUUGCAUAAACAAAAUUAAGUAUGUAAUGGGCUUAGGAAAUGCCUGGUUUAAUUCGUCUGCUGUGAUUAAAAUGAUCAUUAUUAUUCAAACUUUCAUCAUCUUUGUUCAAUAGACUGUUUCUAACUGGUCUCAGCUGCAGCGUUGUUCUCUUUAAUUCGCAGAAGUACAGAGGAUUUCUCCAAGUACAUAUGAGAUCCAGAGACUAGAGUCACUCCUUGGCUUAGAAUCCAUGUGGCUCCCACAUGCCCUCUGGAUAAAGUCCAGGCUUCUUAAUGUGGUCUACAAGCCCCAUCCAGAUCUACUCCCCACCUGCUUCCAUCCAUUUAUUUCAGCAUUUUCUCUCUCUUAGCCAAUACCUAAUUACUUAUUUUUCUGCCCAUUUCCAGAUUCCCAACAUGCCAUCUAUAGCCUCCCUGAUCUUGAACCGGAGGUGUAAUUAGCAACCUGGCUCUUACAUUUUUACUAGAUUUUAUUAAAACUAGCUCAAGCCACACA